CCUUUUGCCAUGCGUGCAGGGCGGCUGGGCCGGACAUGGAGGCAGGAACCGGCACCGGGGCCUCGAUAGCCCAUGAGAGGGGCCGGGACAGCGGUGGGACCGGUGCGAGCGGCUCCUCGCAGAAGGAUGGCUUGGAGUAAAAAAAGAGCCUGGCGUUCCAGAUGAAGGUGACAUAGGGAGUAGAUCUCUUUGGAGAUGGCCCUUACAUGAAGGGGUAGCUUGCACGUCUCUGCUGCUGUGUGCUAAUUGUUCCUCAUGCCUGCCAGGUGAUGUUAUAGCUCUUGACAAGUCCUACAGAAGGCAGUGAGACAGCAAGGUUCCUCUCGGUGUUUAUGCUGAGAACUUCUUGUCUGAGGAAGAAAGAACCCAGCAAAACCUGUGUGUGAGCUUGGAGACCAGUGUUUGUACCUAAAACAUUAAGAAAUGGUAACAGUUACACUCUUGAUGACACGUGUAUUAAAAUUCUAUCUCAAAACAAA